rnacentral:lncRNA from 1 species
AAAUAACAAUCCAGCAGCUGAAGGAUUUGCGAAGCAACUAUCAGAGCUUCAAACUAUGUUGAAGCUUCAAUUACAAUCUGCUCAAGAAUCCUAUAAGACGUCUGCAGAUAGAUUUCAGAAUCCAGCACCUACUUUCAAAGUUGGAGACAAAGCCUGGCUUCUUCGACAAAAUAUCAAGACCAAGCGACCAUAUGAUAAGUU